UCACAUCGAUCAGACAACAACAUGGCAGGACCCCAGGAAGGCCAUGCUGUCCCAGAUGAACGUCACAGCCCCCACCAGUCCACCAGUGCAGCAGAAUAUGAUGAACUCGGCUUCAGGUCCUCUUCCUGAUGGAUGGGAACAAGCCAUGACUCAGGAUGGAGAAAUUUACUAUAUAAACCAUAAGAACAAGACCACCUCUUGGCUAGACCCAAGGCUUGACCCUCGUUUUGGUAAAGGUUCAUCUCAAAACCUUUUUAGAUGCUUUUGGUUGCUAAUUUUUUUUGUAAAUAUACUUCGGAAAGCACAUUUAAAUAAAAUCGCAUUGCUUUAUAGUAUUAAAAAAUGACCCUGCCCACCCAACGUUUACCAGUAGUGUUUUUAUCCUUCUCAUUGUAAACUUGAGAAAUUUAGAUCUGAAUCAGAUUUUUAGGGCUCCUCAGGUUGGGGUGGGGGAAUGUCAUAAUGGCCGACUAACCAGAAUCACUUGUUCCUUUCACAUUUUGGGAGAAACACAGUGAUUGUUUUCAAAAUGAUUUUUUUUUAGCUGCAAUAAUAAUCAGGCUGUCAUGCAACACCUCAGACCAGGAGUACCAGCUUUUGUCAGUGACCUGAUGUCUGCUUGUGCUUAGGUUCUGAGAGUGAUGAGUACCAUCCUAUGCCUGGGUGUUGUAGUGUUUCCCAUCCUAAGGAGGAAUAUGUCACCCCAGAAAUGGCCCAGUGAAAGCAUUGUGCCCCCUCUUCUGUCUCUCUUGAAAAAUAAAUGUUCUUUUUUUCUUCAUUCAGA
rnacentral:sRNA from 1 species